UACGGGAGGCAGCAGUGGGGAAUAUUGGACAAUGGGGGCAACCCUGAUCCAGCGACGCCGCGUGAGUGAAGAAGUAUUUCGGUAUGUAAAGCUCUAUCAGCAGGGAAGAUGAUGACGGUACCUGACUAAGAAGCCCCGGCUAACUACGUGCCAGCAGCCGCGGUAAU
rnacentral:rRNA from 1 species